rnacentral:rRNA from 1 species
CCUACGGGAGGCAGCAGUGAGGAAUAUUGGUCAAUGGACGAGAGUCUGAACCAGCCAAGUAGCGUGAAGGAUGACUGCCCUAUGGGUUGUAAACUUCUUUUAUAAAGGAAUAAAACGAGGCACGUGUGCCUUUUUGCAUGUACUUUAUGAAUAAGGAUCGGCUAACUCCGUGCCAGCAGCCGCGGUAAUACGGAGGAUCCGAGCGUUAUCCGGAUUUAUUGGGUUUAAAGGGAGCGUAGAUGGGUUGUUAAGUCCGUUGUGAAAGUUUGCGGCUCAACCGUAAAAUUGCAAUUGAUACUGGCAGUCGUGAGUACAGUUGAGGUAGGCGGAAUUCGUGGUGUAGCGGUGAAAUGCUUAGAUAUCACGAAGAACCCCGAUUGCGAAGGCAGCUUACUAAACUGUGACUGACAUUGAUGCUCGAAAGUGUGGGUAUCAAACAGGAUUAGAUACCCUUGUAGUC